UGUGUACCGACUGAGCCCGAGAAGAAACUUGUUUUGCACUGAAACCACUUUCCUACAUACGAGGGCACUCAGAGUAGCAGAGGCUGUGCCCAAGUGGCUUGAGGCUGCUCAGCACUACAUUGCCCUUUGCUCUCUCUCAUCAGGUAGGAUGAGGGACAGAACUGGAAAUGAAACAGAAACCGUGGGCUGAGAUAUUAACUAUUUACUACAAACGAAGAGGAAAAUGGUGUCAAAAAUACAACUACUCACCUACUGAUGUACUGCUGAUCAAGGCCCAGAACAGCAAAAUAGUAACCAGCUGCUCCAACUGCUAUCCAG
rnacentral:lncRNA from 1 species